AACGAACGCUGGUGGCAGGCCUAACACAUGCAAGUCGAACGCCCCGCAAGGGGAGUGGCGCACGGGUGAGUAACGCGUGGGAAUAUGCCCUUCGGUUCGGAAUAACACAGGGAAACUUGUGCUAAUACCGGAUACGAUCUACGGAUGAAAGAUUUAUCGCCGAGGGAGUAGCCCGCGUAGGAUUAGCUAGUUGGUGAGGUAAUGGCUCACCAAGGCGACGAUCCUUAGCUGGUCUGAGAGGCUGAUCAGCCACACUGGGACUGAGACACGGCCCAGACUCCUACGGGAGGCAGCAGUGGGGAAUAUUGGACAAUGGGCGAGAGCCUGAUCCAGCCAUGCCGCGUGAGUGGUGAAGGCCUUAGGGUUGUAAAGCUCUUUCGCCAGGGAAGAUAAUGACGGUACCUGGAAAAGAAGCCUCGGCUAACUCCGUGCCAGCCGCCGCCGUAAAAC
rnacentral:rRNA from 1 species